rnacentral:rRNA from 1 species
UACGUAGGGCGCAAGCGUUGUCCGGAAUUAUUGGGCGUAAAGAGCUCGUAGGCGGCUUGUCACGUCGGGUGUGAAAGCCCGGGGCUUAACCCCGGGUCUGCAUUCGAUACGGGCAGGCUAGAGUGUGGUAGGGGAGAUCGGAAUUCCUGGUGUAGCGGUGAAAUGCGCAGAUAUCAGGAGGAACACCGGUGGCGAAGGCGGUUCUCUGGGCAUGAUCUGACGCUGAGGAGCGAAAGUGUGGGGAGCGAACAGG